CAGUCGCCGCGGUAAUACGUAGGUCCCGAGCGUUGUCCGGAUUUAUUGGGCGUAAAGCGAGCGCAGGCGGUUAGAUAAGUCUGAAGUUAAAGGCUGUGGCUUAACCAUAGUACGCUUUGGAAACUGUUUAACUUGAGUGCAAGAGGGGAGAGUGGAAUUCCAUGUGUAGCGGUGAAAUGCGUAGAUAUAUGGAGGAACACCGGUGGCGAAAGCGGCUCUCUGGCCUGUAACUGACGCUGAGGCUCGAAAGCGUGGGGAGCAAACAGGAUUAGAUACCCCGGUAGUCCCUGUCUCUUAUACA
rnacentral:rRNA from 1 species